rnacentral:lncRNA from 1 species
CUUCGGUUCCCUGUGUGUGCCAUGUGUGGGCAUCAAAAGAUAAUGACCAGACACCCGGGUCGGAACCCUCAAGUGUUGUGCUUGAACUCGAGUGCUUUUGCUUUUUAUUUGCCCAAAUUGGAAUACGCUCAGGAAUCUACGUAAGAGAAAGGAAGCAGAGAGAGAGGUUUGUGGGAUUAAAUAAGUACGAUAGGAACUUUUCGAGUGAAUUCCUAAUACAUUCAAUAACUAACAGAGCCUCCACUCCAUGGAAAAUGGUUAUUCUAUGAGAAAAUCCAUAGUGUUACAUUUUGUGGUAGUUCUACUCCAUGAAAAACCUCUGUACUAAGUUUCCUCGCCGCUUUGUCCAACCUGAAAUGAAUGACAUUCGCAGAUGUUAACUGACCGGGGGACAGUACAUCGUCCAUAGGUCAACUAAAAGGUUUUCUUCUCUAAUUGAGUUUAUUUAGUCGCAUUAUUUCUUUGUUUUUUUAUUCGGGAGAGCAGCUGCCAUUUAAAAGUCAUCAACGGAUAAAUAAACCCAAUAAUGGAACCAGCAGAAAGCAAACAAAAAGCAAAGUAAAACACAGAAAAAACAUGCAAAUAAAAGGCAUAAAAAUACAGAAAUACCUACAGCGGCAGAAACAGCAAAAAUGCCCCAAAAGCUUGCACCGAAAGAGUAAGCGAGAGGGAGUGAUGUGAGAGGGAGAGCGCUUACAGUUAGUUUAUUUUUAAGCACGAGAAUGCACACGCACACACACACACACACUCUCGAAAAUAACGAAAAUUGCUCAAAAUGAAAUGACGCAAAGCGCAUUAAACAAAGUCCAGCAAAAAAGAAGUCCAAGAAGAAGAAAAGAAAAAGAGAGCAAAAAACGUAACACAAAACAAAGUGGAAACGGCCCCAAGACACAAAAUACAAAAAAAAAACGAAAGAAACUAAAGAGAAGCCGCGACAUCGGAAGCUGUCUAACCCAAACAUUGUCUGUGUGUGGGGGCGUGCCGGGGGAGUUAAGUGGCAGCCAGCAAAGCUCUGGUCGUGCGCUGGUAGGCGAGGAGAGGAGGAGUGGGAUAGGGGCAACAGUUGAGGACACUCGCAUUGAGGCUGGUCAUAAAGUUGAUAUUUACGAGUCAGCGGAGAGCGAAGAGGGGAGAGACCCCACGACGACCAGACGGAGAGCCAGACUCGGAUACAGACGUGGAGCCAAGAGUGCGAGGGAGAGAGGUGGGGAGAACCCCCAGCAGAGAUUCAGAAAAGUGUGGAGUGGGUGGGAGCUGGAGGAAGGCACCAACUCAUGCCUUAGAGGCAGGGGGAGACUGUCGCAAUGGCCUUAUGAAAGUGGAUGGGGCGAGGGGGAAACUUCAGCUCUGACUCAAAAGAGGUGGGAAGAGAAAGAGAGAGGCACACACCGACCUAGGCAACCGGUUAACAUGUUAUCUUUGUUACUUUUCAAUACACUACCAGAAAGUUAUUAGGUUUUAUGGGAAAAGAAAUUCAAAUUAGUUAUAUUUUCGUAAGAUAUUCGAACCAAACUAAAGAAACUUUGGCUUCAAAUGUUUCUGCAGACCUUAGC